UACGUAGGGACCAAGCGUUGUUCGGAUUUACUGGGCGUAAAGGGUGCGUAGGCGGCGUGGUAAGUCAGCUGUGAAAUCUCCGAGCUUAACUCGGAACGGUCAGCUGAUACUGCUGUGCUAGAGUGCAGGAAGGGCAAUCGGAAUUCUUGGUGUAGCGGUGAAAUGCGUAGAUAUCAAGAGGAACACCUGAGGCGAAGGCGGGUUGCUAGACUGACACUGACGCUGAGGCACGAAAGCUAGGGGAGCAAACAGG
rnacentral:rRNA from 1 species